AUAUGUAACUAUAACAGUAUUAAAAUUAGUGUCGCAGCCAGUGUAAGAAAAUCAGUUAAGUGUUAGAAAAGCAGUCAAGGUAUAUAACGUCAGAACGAAUAUAUGUAACUAUAACAGUAUUAAAAUUAGUGUCGCAGCCAGUGUAAGAAAGGCAGUCAAGUGAUGGCUAGAUAAGUGCCGGAGCCGGAUAAGACACUGCGCGGUUGCAACGAGGAAGCAUGUGGCAAAGAUUGUUGUAACGCGUCCGCUUUGCCGUCCCCUGAAUCGACUGAUGGCUGACCAUGAAGAGCUGGAUCUCAUUGGAAUGGACAAUGGUGCGAUCGACGACGGUUCCCGGAACAACAUUGUUGAACUUAUUUUAUUGCGAUGGAGCUCCGUUCGGAAAGAAGCGCGGAUGAUGCCGCUUAACUACAAUGACUCAGCAAAUCUUGGGUUUAAUAUGCAUCUGAAAGGAAGCGAAGGCCACAGAAAUCCCCAUCAACUCUUCAUUCUUAAUCUUGGGAAACUGUCCCUCGCUGCCACCAUCACGAUAAUAGCUAAUGUGCUCGGCAUAGGAUAUGCGGAACUGAUGAUAGACACGCAAGUGCUAUCGUUUGGUGUUCGUUAUUACACCAAAUUUCGGGCGCUUUUUUGAUGUCGUGAAGUAAAAGGCUGAGCUGAAGGAUGGCAUUCUCACACAAUGCAUCAAGCAAAUAACAGUCGAGCGUAAAUGUAACGCGCAGGUUAUUGGUAACGUUCUACUUAAGGUCAAUUCCAAACUAAACGGCACCAAUCACAAGCUAAGGGAUGACCUGCAUUGUCUACUAAAGAACACCAUGUUUUUGGGUUCCGAUGUGACUCAUAGUCGCCCGAUCAGCAAGAGAUCCCCAGUUGAUGGCUAGAUAAGUGCCGGAGCCGGAUAAGACACUGCGCGGUUGCAACGAGGAAGCAUGUGGCAAAGAUUGUUGUAACGCGUCCGCUUUGCCGUCCCCUGAAUCGACUGAUGGUUGACCAUGAAGAGCUGGAUCUCAUUGGAAUGGACAAUGGUGCGAUCGACGACGGUUCCCGGAACAACAUUGUUGAACUUAUUUUAUUGCGAUGGAGCUCCGUUCGGAAAGAAGCGCGUAUGAUGCCGCUUAACUACAAUGACGCAGCAAAUCUUGGGUUUAAUAUGCAUCUGAAAGGAAGCGAAGCAGGCGCAGAAAUCCCCAUCAACUCUUCAUUCUUAAUCUUGGGAAACUGUACAUCGCUUCCACCAUCAAGAUAAUAGAUAAUGUGCUCGGGAUUGGAUGUGCGGAACUGAUGAUAGACACGCAAGUGCUCAAGAGCUACCGACUUCAUGUCCUCAAUCUCCUCCAAGGCAGAGCGUUGCAAGCGAUAUUGCAUGUUAUAUGAAGCCCCGAAUGGAUCAUGGGAGGCGGCAACACCCACCACACUGGGGAUCUCUCGCUGAUCGGGCGAGUCACAUCGGCACCCAAAAACAUGGUCUUCUUUGGCAGACAGUGUAGGUCAUCCCGUAGCUUGUGAUUGGUGCCGUUCAGUUUUGCAUUAACCUUAAGUAGAAUGCUGCCAAUAACCUGCGCGUUACAUUUGCGCUCGACUGUGAUCCGCUUAAUGCAUUGUGUGAGAAUGCCAUCCUUCAGCUCAGCCUUUUACUUCACGACAUCAAAAAAGCGCCCGAAAUUUGGUAUAAUAACGAACAGCAAAUCAAAUUAAUUUCGAAAAAGGAGCAUCCAGUUCACGUUCAUCUUUGUAAUUCCGUUUCUCGUCCUUGGUAUCCAAUGGUGUAUGUGUAUCCAUGAAAAUUCUAAGCAAAAAACCAUUAAAAAUAGAUCUUAUUGUU